rnacentral:lncRNA from 1 species
CAGGCGGCGGCGGGGCUGAGGCGGCCGCGGGGCUGAGGCGAGCGAGCGGCGGGGCUGAGGCGAGCGAGUGGCGGGGCUGAAGGGAGUCGCGGCGGCGCUGAGGCCAGCGGCGGAGCUGUGGGGGGCAACGGUGCUGAGGCGGUGGCCGCGGCCGGGCGGGUUGGGCUGACGUGAGAAGCGCCGCCGCCGCUGGGCCUCCUCCAUUCCGGCCCGCAGCCCCGCGCCCUCCCAGCCUUUGGCGCCCUCCCGCGCGGGCGGCGCGCUGGCGACGGCCAUGGCGGUGGCGGCGGCGCUGGCGGGCCGCGGGGCGCGCGGCGGCAGG